AGGAUCAACGCUGGCGGCGUGCAUGAGACAUGCAAGUCGAACGGACACUCAGGGCUUGCUCUGAGUGUUAGUGGCGGACGGCUGAGUAACGCGUAGGUGACCUGCCCCGAAGUGGGGAAUAACUGCCCGAAAGGGUGGCUAAUACCGCAUGUGGUGAUGCGUUCAUUCGCAUCAGUAAAGCCGCAAGGCGCUUCGGGAGGGGCCUGCGUCCGAUUAGCUCGUUGGUGAGGUAACGGCUCACCAAGGCUCCGAUCGGUA
rnacentral:rRNA from 1 species